AAUUUUAAAACCAUGUUGUGAUACCCUUUUAAAUGGGCACACUAACAACUAGAUAAAAGUAACUUUUUAAAAUACUAUUACAAAUUUGAAAUUAUAUAAACUAUUAUUAUUCUUCAUCUUAUCCAAUUUAAAAUUUUGGUGACAAUUUUUUCUGAUUUAUAUAAAUACAUUAACGUGUUUUUCUUAUUUAUCAUAUCUUUAAUAAAAUUAUAUCUUACUAAAAUAUAAAUAAUAAAAUAUUUAUUAUUAUACGAUCUUAAAUAUGCUUACAACUUUGAAUUUAUUUAUACAAUUUUCUUAUAUAAAUUAUUUUUAAUUUUUAAAAUUAAGUGGGAAUUUUUUUUAGUUUUCAAAGUUGAUAUUAUAUAUUUUGAUAUUUUGUUCAAAAAUGUUAAGAGGCCUUUUACAUUUCUUUCACUAAGAUAUGUUGUACAAAAUAUUAGACAAAUUAAACAAUAACUAAAAUAUAUAAAGCAAUCACCAAAGUUUUAAAUUGGAUAAGAUGAACAAGAAUAGUAGUUUAUAUAAUGGAGAAUUUCAAUUUGUAAUAAUAUUUCAAAAAAUUAUUUUAGUCUAGUUGUUAGUGUGCCCCUUUAAAAGGAUAUCCCAGCACAGAUUUGAAUCCCGAAAUGAACAUAUUUUAAAAAAAAAUACAUAUAUCAAAACAACAUCGUCUUAUCUUUGUUAAAAGUUGAUUAACGUCUGUUAGAGUUAAUGUAGAUUUAGACACGUUUUAGAAAAAAUUGGAUAAUUUUUUUUUAAAUUAUAAUUGAGUUGAGGUCGUUUUUGGCACUAACUAUUUGUUCGGGUCUUAUUUGGCACGAUUGAGAGUGUUGGGGUCGAAAUUGGCACUUUUCCUCGUAUAUCAAACGACGUCGUUUUAUCUUGUUAACGGUUGACUAACUUCUGUUAGAGUCAAUGUAGAUUUAAGCACGUUUUAAGAAGUUCGGGUAGUUUUUUUUAAUUAUAAUUGAGUUGAGGUCGUAUAUGGCACUGAUCAAUUGUUCGGGUCGUAUUUGGCACGACUGAAAUAGUUUGGGUCGAAAUUGGCACUUUUCCCUGAUUUGUCAACACCCGUUACGGGUUUUGGUUGGUAAAGUGUAAACGCAGUUUUACAUAGUGGUAACGUAAGAGCUGUCAAACUCAAAACUAGCAAGCCAUGAACGAGUGUCGGACCUCGAGCAGCCUGUUCUGAGCCUUAGUUGUCUUCUCAUUUCAACACUUAUUUAGUUGUUGUUGAAAUAAAGAUUUAAUCUGAUUGUUGUGUAGUUAAGAAAACAAGCAAAUGUAAAAAGCAGAAUACGUAAGAUAAUGUGAAACUGCCGAGUUUUAAGUUAUCCCACUACAUAAAAGCUACUAAUUUUGAAUGUUAUAAAGGAUGCCACAUAGGCAAAAUAUUCUCAGCCAUUCAUUCUGCCACAUCACUGAUAACCCAGACCAACAAAUCGUAAUUGCAGCCCAGCCCGUUAACCGGUUUCGCUCACGAAAUUGCUGUCUCCGUCUCUUUGCUGUUGGGCCAGAUUAAAAAAUUUUCCAGCCCAUCCCAUUACUUAUUUCAACUGUCAAACUAUUUUCUUUUGCAUUUUCUAUUAUUGCAGACAAUUUUUUAUUUCAACUGUUUUCUAUAACAAUGUGCAAACCGACUAAGUUCCCUUUGAUCUUAAAAUAGUACGCCCAAGAUAACAAAACCCCCUCAUUUCACACACAGUCCCUGUAAAUUUCUAUAAAAAACUAAAUUCUACUAUCAAACCCACCCAACAAAUUUACUACUACCACCUAUAAUUAUGGCCCGGCCUACUUAAACUUUUAAAAAAACCAUGACAAUACUUAAAAAAAACACACCCUAACUAUGUUCACUUUAAAAAAAAAAAUUUAAACAAAAUUGCCAAAAAAAUACUAAUUCUCAUUCUUAUCUAUGUAGCACAUGCACCACAAGAUCAAAGCAAUUAGGACAACACCCUCGAACCUCAUCCAAUAAUCGUUAGGAUCCUUAGGGUCUGGCCCAUCACAAAUCACAAAAAUAAAGAUGCUUUCCUAGGGACAACUUUCAUAUGUCUUGACAUCCAGGUUUGUCUAAAAUUCAUAUUUUUAAUUAUUCCAACUAUAUUUCAAAUGAUUGCUUCUAACCACUAAACAGGAACAAAAAAUGGAGGGGAAGGUACCUAUUUCUACGUCUGACACAAUGUACCAACGCUUCGAAGAAGGGAAAAUUUAUCACAUUAGAUAUUUUAAUCUCCUCCCCAAUAACCAACGUUACAGGCUUACCGAUCAACCAUACAUAAUCAAUAUCAAAGAAACAACAACUAUUACACUGAUUCAAGAAAACAUUGCACCGAUUCCUUCAUACAUAUUCCGGCCACAACGCUACACCCAGUUGAUCAGCUUAGCAAGUGAAACCAACUUCCUACCAGAUGUUGUUGGCCGCAUUUGCCUCAUCCAAGGAAGUGAUUUAUAUAACCACUACACAGAUUCAAAAAUCAUCAUUGGAUUACGUUUAGACAGAUCGAAAUUGGUACGUCUAACUUUAUGGGACAAGGAGGCAUCUAAUUUCAGGGAGUUAAAUCGCAUAUCAACAAGGAAAAAACAAGUCGUAAUCAUCACAAGUAUCAUUCCACGGAUACAUGAAAGUAAUAAACUAAACAUAAACUUUACAAAAAACUAAAUGCUAACAAAUAUUUGCCUUUUUCAGAAAAACUAUCACUCACAGCAACACCUGGAACGCGCUUCUACUUUAACAACGAAAUUGAUAUCAUUCAACGCUUCCAAAAGAGGAAUAAACUGCUAUCUUAAGCCUCAUAGCAAACACCACCAGUCAACUUUUAAAACAUUUACGUUACCACUUCCUACAUCAAUUAAAUUGUCACACACAAAGAUUAUUUUCUCAUUCAAAUAUCGAAUUCCUCAAAACUAUUUAUUAUUCAUACUUACAGUUGUUUUUAAAAAAAAAAUGAUCACCGUUUCGAACUUCUCCCCUGUAUAAAAAAACAAAACUUAACUUAUCCUUUCAGAAACCAAAAAACACACAAUUUUAAUUCACCUGAUUUUUAUUAAACAUGUAAUCCGCGCGCAGCGCGGACGCCGGCCCUAGUUAGUAUAAUAAAAUAAAAAGCAGAAUACGUAUGAAUGAAGCAAAAUCUCGACGAAUCCAAAACGCUUAUUUUAUAAGUUUGUGUGUUAUACAUUAAUGAACACUGUGAAUAUUCAUAAACUCCCCUUGUACUGCAUU